rnacentral:rRNA from 1 species
AGUGAACGCUGGCGGUAGGCCUAACACAUGCAAGUCGAACGGCAGCACAGUAAGAGCUUGCUCUUACGGGUGGCGAGUGGCGGACGGGUGAGGAAUACAUCGGAAUCUACUUUUUCGUGGGGGAUAACGUAGGGAAACUUACGCUAAUACCGCAUACGACCUACGGGUGAAAGCAGGGGAUCUUCGGACCUUGCGCGAUUGAAUGAGCCGAUGUCGGAUUAGCUAGUUGGCGGGGUAAAGGCCCACCAAGGUGACGAUCCGUAGCUGGUCUGAGAGGAUGAUCAGCCACACUGGAACUGAGACACGGUCCAGACUCCUACGGGAGGCAGCAGUGGGGAAUAUUGGACAAUGGGCGCAAGCCUGAUCCAGCCAUACCGCGUGGGUGAAGAAGGCCUUCGGGUUGUAAAGCCCUUUUGUUGGGAAAGAAAAGCAGCAGGUUAAUACCCCGCUGUUCUGACGGUACCCAAAGAAUAAGCACCGGCUAACCUCGUG